rnacentral:ncRNA from 1 species
UGUCAUAAAACCAAUAUAAUGAACUAUCCCAGUUACUAUAAUGAUUUGCGUGUAAUUUGAAUUACUGUAAUAUUUGGUACCGUAGCAUAUGUUAUUACUGGAAUAUAUUACUGUAACGUAGGGCUACUGUAGUAUGUAUUAGUUUUUGGCAUUCGAUUACCGUUUGCCUCAGAUCGCAGCCUAGAGUGGGUGGUAAACCUCAUCUAAGGCUAAAUACGGCCACGAGACAGAUAGCAAACAAGUACCGUGAGGGAAAGAACUUUGAAGAAAGAGUUCAAAAAGGCGUGAAACUUUUUUUGCAGUAAUGAUAGUUUUCAGCAAUUUUUCUUAGUUAUAAUUGAAAAAACAAUUGAAAUUUCGGCGUUCUCUUCAGGAGUAACUUAGCAUUACUACAUGUCUGCGAUUUGUUACGAUGCUCAUCCACGACGGUACAGUGGUCUGAUCACAUCCCACUACUCCUACAUAUUGCUGUCCUGGGGCUGGAUUCAUUGCNNNNNNNNNNNNNNNNNNNNUUAGCGUUACUACAUGUCUGCGAUUUGUUACGAUGCUCAUCCACGGCGGUACAGUGGUCUGAUCACAUCCCACUACUCCUACAUAUUGCUGUCCUGGGGCUGGAUUCAUUGCGACCCACGAUUUGCCGGCACGCUCGGCAGCUUCUCAUCAAUAUUGUUCUUCUUCAAGCCGGUGAAGCAGUAGCCGCCUCACAGCUUUCCAAUAUUUUAUUGAGCAAUCAGGUUUGUCUUCGAGUUUUUUAUGUUCGAGGUUUUUUCUAAGAUCAGAUUUUUGAGGUUUUUUUUUUUUUAAAAAACAGUACCUGCGAUUUCUAAUUUGCGCUUCCCGCGAUCCUGGUUUUUUUUUCCAGUUAAAAAGUACCUUUUCACCCAUUUCGGCCCUUUUUGGACCGGCCGUUUUUGG